GCGCCACUGGUGUAAUGGCGCAGAGCAUUCCCGCCCGGUCAGAGGGAGGUGCGGGUUCGAGUCCCGCCUGGCGCU
rnacentral:tRNA from 1 species